UACAGAGGUCUCAAGCGUUGUUCGGAUUCAUUGGGCGUAAAGGGUGCGUAGGCGGCGUGGUAAGUCGGGUGUGAAAUCUCGGAGCUUAACUCCGAAACUGCAUUCGAUACUGCCGUGCUUGAGGACUGGAGAGGAGACUGGAAUUUACGGUGUAGUGGUGAAAUGCGUAGAUAUCGGGAGGAACACCAGUGGCGAAGGCGACUACCUGGCCUGUUCUUGACGCUGAGGCGCGAAAGCUAGGGGAGCAAACGGGG
rnacentral:rRNA from 1 species